GAUGAACGCUGGCGGCGUGCUUAACACAUGCAAGUCGAACGGUGAAGCUCCAGCUUGCUGGAGUGGAUCAGUGGCGAACGGGUGAGUAACACGUGAGCAACCUGCCCCUGACUCUGGGAUAACAGCCGGAAACGGCUGCUAAUACCGGAUAUGCACCAUGAACGCAUGUUCUGUGGUGGGAAAGAUUUUUCGGUUGGGGAUGGGCUCGCGGCCUAUCAGCUUGUUGGUGAGGUAAUGGCUCACCAAGGCGUCGACGGGUAGCCGGCCUGAGAGGGUGACCGGCCACACUGGGACUGAGACACGGCCCAGACUCCUACGGGAGGCAGCAGUGGGGAAUAUUGCACAAUGGGCGAAAGCCUGAUGCAGCAACGCCGCGUGAGGGAUGACGGCCUUCGGGUUGUAAACCUCUUUUAGCAGGGAAGAAGCAAGAGUGACGGUACCUGCAGAAAAAGCGCCGGCUAACUACGUG
rnacentral:rRNA from 1 species